GGUCACGUUGCUAAGGUGUGGGCUGCUGGCAGUGCAGGGGCGGUGGCUUUAGAGAAGGUUGUCAAGUGAGUCAUUCCAUGCUUCUAAGCCCGUAUCCGGCUACUUGUCCUUAAAACGGUUCCUUCUGCAGAGUGACCAAGAUGAAUCUUCCCCCGAUGCCUGUGACCAGAUGGGACAUUGUGUUAGUGCUAUCAGCACAGGAGCAUUGUCAGAAGCAUUUUCACUGUCUCCAAUGCUUGGAAAAUUGGGAAAGGUGUGGCUGAGCUGAAAGCGAAACCAAAACUGUAUAAAAGGAAAAAGAGACAAAAAAAGAAGGAAACUGGAAAUAAGGAGAGACAGUGAAAGAAGAGAUCAGACUAAAAGGACUUAAACUAGUUUUGUGAUUUGGACAUUAAUGAUGUCUCCCAAUCAGCAGCAGCUAUUUCUUGCUGUCCUUCUAGUCUUCAGUGGCCAUGUCAUGGGUAACAACCUGAUGACUGGUAACCUUUCACAAGUUACAUGUUCAAUUUCAGGCCAUGAUCCUGUUGUCAUAGGCACAGCCUGGGACUUUCCUAUUCCACUAAAGGAGUUAGACAUUCACGUGCAUUGAUUUUCAAUAGGAGUUGUGUGCCUACCUCUCUCUGACCCCUUUUAAAAUGUUUCUUUAACUCCCUACUUGUCCUCUAAACAGUUCCUUCUCAGAGGCCUGUUCAAUGACUGAGAUGAAUCCUCACCCUGGAGCCUGUGACCAAGUGGGCAUGUGUUGAUGUUGUCUGCACAGGAGCACUGUCAGGAGCAUCCUAGAAGCCCGCAAGAAACACUAAAUGAUGGGCAAGAUGGGACCUAACUGUGUUCUAUUUGAAGGAAUAUAAGUACCAAGAAGGUAGUGGGAUGGCUUAAGAGGGCAGAGGGGACAUAACUAGGAGUAUAAUUUAAUUAAUUUAAGAAAGGAAGCAUAUAAGACGAGUGUCAGGACAAAUCUUCCUAGCAAUGAAGCUGAACAAUAGAAUAUUCUCCCAAAGGAAGCCUCAUUGCUUGAGUCACUUAAAAGUUUCUCCGGCCAUUGCACCAAACACAAACUGUCCUUUGCAUAGAGUCUGGAUGUUAUAAUAGAUCUUUUCCAUCUCUAACUUAGGCUAUAAAAUCAGUCAUGGCCAAUCUUCUUGAAUGAUAGAUAGAAAUAAUUAUUCUUUGUGAGGAGCUUUUCUUAGCCCUCGGCUAGUUUGAAUGGACACCCCAUCCUCUCUCUCCCCUACCCCCAUUCCCACAUAACUGGCUCCAUGCCUUUGGGGCAGGAGAGAGGCUUCCACAGAGAGGAGUACUAUACUAAUGUAGGGCUUCCCUGUUUGGACAGGAACUGCGUCUACUGCAGAAGCAACACCCGCUCCACAUGUGGAGGGAGGCGGUGGCAGCCCCUUGUGUUACUUUGCAGUAUUGCUUUCUCCUCCAGACCUUUGAAACAUCAAAUGUCUUCACCAUCAUGACACCUAC